rnacentral:rRNA from 1 species
GACGAACGCUGGCGGCGUGCUUAACACAUGCAAGUCGAACGGAAAGGCCCUGCUUUUGUGGGGUGCUCGAGUGGCGAACGGGUGAGUAACACGUGAGUAACCUGCCCUUGACUUUGGGAUAACUUCAGGAAACUGGGGCUAAUACCGGAUAGGAGCUCCUGCUGCAUGGUGGGGGUUGGAAAGUUUCGGCGGUUGGGGAUGGACUCGCGGCUUAUCAGCUUGUUGGUGGGGUAGUGGCUUACCAAGGCUUUGACGGGUAGCCGGCCUGAGAGGGUGACCGGCCACAGUGGGACUGAGAUACGGCCCAGACUCCUACGGGAGGCAGCAGUGGGGAAUAUUGCACAAUGGGCGGAAGCCUGAUGCAACAACGCCGCGUGCGGGAUGACGGCCUUCGGGUUGUAAACCGCUUUCGCCUGUGACGAAGCGUGAGUGACGGUAAUGGGUAAAGAAGCACCGGCUAACUACGUG